AUUGAACGCUAGCGGGAUGCUUUACACAUGCAAGUCGAACGAGUGGCGGACGGGUGAGUAAUAUAUCGGAACGUGCCCAGUAGCGGGGGAUAACUACUCGAAAGAGUGGCUAAUACCGCAUACUAUUGGAGCGGCAGAUAUCGGAUUAGCUAGUUGGUGGGGUAACGGCGCACCAAGGCAACGAUCCGUAGCUGGUUUGAGAGGAAGACCAGCCACACUGGAACUUAGACACGGUCCAGACUCCUACGGGAGGCAGCAGUGGGGAAUAUUGGACAAUGGGGGAAACCCUGAUCCAGCCAUCCCGCGUGUAUGAGAAGGCCGUCGGGUUGUAAAGUACUUUUGGCAGCGAAGCGGUAUCUGCAGAAUAAGCACCGGCUAACUACGUGCCAGCAGCCGCGGUAAUAC
rnacentral:rRNA from 1 species